UGACCUCGAAUCAGGUAGGGAUACCCGCUGAACUUAAGCAUAUCAAUAAGCGGAGGAAAAGAAACCAACAGGGAUUACCUCAGUAACGGCGAGUGAAGCGGUAACAGCUCAAAUUUGAAAUCUGGUCCGGUUACGGGCCCGAGUUGUAAUUUGUAGAAGAUGCUUUGGUAAUGAGUCCGGCCUAAGUUCCUUGGAACAGGACGUCAUAGAGGGUGAGAACUCCGUAUGCGGCCGAGUACUCAGUGCCAUGUAAAGCUCUUUCGACGAGUCGAGUUGUUUGGGAAUGCAGCUCAAAAUGGGUGGUAAAUUUCAUCUAAAGCUAAAUAUUGGCCAGAGACCGAUAGCGCACAAGUAGAGUGAUCGAAAGAUGAAAAGCACUUUGGAAAGAGAGUUAAACAGUACGUGAAAUUGUUGAAAGGGAAGCGCUUGCAACCAGACUUGGGCACUGUGGAUCAUCCGAGGUUCUCCUCGGUGCACUCGGCAGUGCGCAGGCCAGCAUCAGUUUGGGUGGUUGGAUAAAGACUUGUGGAAUGUAGCUCCUUUCGGGGAGUGUUAUAGCCACAGGUGCCAUGCGACCAACCCGGACUGAGGACCGCGCUUCGGCUAGGAUGCUGGCGUAAUGGUUGUAAGCGACCCGUCUUGAAACACGGACCAAGGAGUCUAACAUCUAUGCGAGUGUUUGGGUGUUAAACCCAUACGCGGAAUGAAAGUGAACGUAGGUGAGAACCUGUAAGGGGGCAUCAUCGACCGAUCCGGAUGUCUUCGGAUGGAUUUGAGUAAGAGCAUAGCUGUUGGGACCCGAAAGAUGGUGAACUAUGCCUGAAUAGGGUGAAGCCAGAGGAAACUCUGGGGA
rnacentral:ncRNA from 1 species